GACAGAGGGUGCAAACGUUGUUCGGAAUUACUGGGCAUAAAGCGCACGUAGGUGGUCCGCUAAGUCGCGUGUGAAAUCCCCCGGCUCAACCGGGGAAAUGCGCGUGAUACUGGCGGGCUUGAGAUCGGGAGGGGUGAAUGGAACUCCAGGUGGAGCGGUGAAAUGCGUAGAUAUCUGGAGGAACACCGGUGGCGAAAGCGGUUCACUGGCCCGACACUGACACUGAGGUGCGAAAGCCAGGGGAGCAAACGGG
rnacentral:rRNA from 1 species